rnacentral:rRNA from 1 species
GAGUUUGAUCCUGGCUCAGGACGAACGCUGGCGGCGUGCCUAAAACAUGCAAGUCGAACGAGCCUUCGGGCUAGUGGCGAACGGCGGAGUAAGACAUAAGCAACCUGCCCUGAAGACGGGGAUAUACGGGGGAAACCCCGGGUAAUACCCCGAUAUGGCUCCGGAGAGGCAUCUCUUUGGAAUUAAACGGUUUUUCGCUUCAGGAGGGGCUUAAUGAUGCAUCAGGUAGUUGGUGGGGUAAAGGCCUACCAAGCCCGACGACGCAUAGGGGGUCUGAGAGGAUGAUCCCCCGAGUGGGACUGAGACACGGCCCACACACCUACGGGUGGCAGCAGUUGGGAAUCUUGCACAAUGGGGGAAACCCUGAUGCAGCGACGCCGC